GGGAAGGAUUGUAAAUCAAUAGUUCUUUUUCCUACCAGACGCCGGGGAGCGAGCUGUAUUUUGAAAGACGACGAUCGCGUAGCAGCCGCCUACGAACCGGUUGAUCAGUUUUCCUAACUCGGUUCGACUACUUCUUCUAACGCAAUGACCAUGGACACAUAUGAAAUUUAUUUUGAAGGCAUCGUGCCCAACUAUGCUAACAGAGAGCGUCCAAAAGGAGAAGGUGGCGUCGCAUUGGUGCAAGAAAGAAUAAUUAUUGAAGAAUUUGUGUGGUCGGAGCUUCCCUGACCCGUCGGUGUCGUAAGGCUGUGAGGGCCUGGGACUACGGCGACGUAGACAUAUUUGACGUUUCUCUUUAUCAACGAUAAACAAUUUCAAUGUUCUCGAUCAUUCUGUGCUUUUUCUCGGUGUCGUUGUGUAUAAGACUCCUUUAAUGUGUCAGCCUCAAUAACGUGCAUACAAUAUGUGUAUAUUAUUACCGUGUGAAGCAAUCGAAGGGUCGAUAUAGACUUUGGUCUUGAUUUCGAUGAGGAAACGUUAAUAUUUGUCUUGACUUGAAAUAUCACCACUUUCGAGGGUGGAGAAAAUGUUGAAAUUUUGUAUUGAAUUCGGGAAAUGAUGUCGGGGAAGAAGGGGGGUCUAUUGAUAGACAGUAUUUAAAACAAAACAUACUUAAAACUUUCCAAACAAGUAGUUAAAGCUUGUAAGAUUCCGAUAGCUUGCUUAUGUCAACACCAUUUAAUACAACAACGGAGCUGUUCUAUUGCCAUGAUUCCUUUGUCUCUUUCAAUUUACUUCAAUUAAUAUUCGGUUGUAGUUUAUUAAAAAUUUCAAGUAUUCUGUAAUCUCUUCAUGUUGUAUUUCUAGGCUUAUUUCUGUACAUUCAUUACUAUUGUUUCGUAAUCAUUCACCGUUGGAUGUGAUGCCUUAAAAUUGCUAGAUUAGGAAAAGACAAUAUAUUUAAACAAAAAAACAGAUUACACUUUGCUGACAAAAUUGUAUUUCUCCAUGAACCAAAUAUUGCUAAAAGAAAUAACUGCGGAUAGUAUCUGUCAAGCUUAAAUUUUUAUCUAUGUCGGUGUAUGUUAACAUUUUUAGAGAAGUAUUUAAAAUGUCAUAGAUGCUUACUAACAGGCUCAAACAGUGAAUGCUAAGAAAAGAUGUUCAUAUUUUCGCCAAUAUAUUUACAGUCACAUUUAUAUUUACAAUUAUAUUUAUACUUGUAUUUACAUUUAUGUGUCGUACAGAGUUAUAUAUUUUUUAUAAAUUUUUUGGUUUGUGAAUACCAACAAAGAAAAUCGGGAAAAUUGUAUGUAAAUUUGUGCACAUGUUAGAAACAAAAAGGCAACAUCAGGUAUGUGAGCGACGGGUUCGUGGUGCCUCAUUUAUGUACAAAUAUCCUCCUCCGUAAUAACAUUUCGUAACAAAGUAAAAACUCAUUACCUCUGAGAAUCAAUAACUUUUUCGUAUAACAGAAGCUACCUCAAACUAUACAAAGUCUGAGAUCCGCCUUGUCGCACGUUAAGCCGUUACCAUCUACAGACACACCUUGCUCACCAUAAGGAAUAACGUGUAACGACGAAGAACUCACGACUUGUAAAAGUAACUCGAAACGGAAGGAAUUGAAACAUAAUUUUGGUUAACGAUGUGCCUUAUAUCUAUGAAGUAAAAGAUCGCUCAUCCAUUUUUAUAGUGGUGCUUUGUUUCGUACGGAAAAUAAAUAAAAUGCAUUGUCACUGAAUGAAUUGAAUUGGGUAGGUACCAAAAUAAUAACACGUACUUGACUGACACUCCAAAUAACAUCAGUGAAGGCUUUUUAGGAUUGGCACGAUUGUACAAGAGCAUUGCACCUUUUUACACAAAUAAUAAAUGUUGAACGGCGAUAAAUAUGAACAUAAUAUAAUAUCUAGUCCUGUUGUUGCAUCUGUGACAGAAUACCUUCACUAUUAAAUCUACAAGACAUUGGUUGACCAAGUUGAUUUGAUUGAUACAUAUAAUUUAACAUUAAUAAACUCAAAUUAAAAGGUUCCGAUUCACGAAUUGGUUUCGUUAAAUACGGUGACAGAUGUGUAUUAGAAAGAAUAGUGCUGGUGUAUGUACAUAUGUGAAAAUUUCCAACGGCAUCCAUUCAACUUAUAUUAAGAAAUUGUUUUUUUCUGGUAUCUUAACUAUUUUAUGGUCGUAAUGAAGUUAUUGUUCAUUUGUUCUCGUAUCUCAUAGAAGUGAAAUACAGCUUAGUGACAUCUUAAUCAUGAAAAUACAUCGUUCUUACAUGGUAUGGUAAGUAAAAUUUAUAAAAAAGGACAUUGUAACAACACGCGAGUGUAGAGUAUCUUUGCUAUCUCGGUACGAAGAUAUUGAGUACGAAACUUAAAAACGACCUAAUAAAAGUUUUUAUAAAGAAUGAGGCUUCAGACGAGUAAUAUUUAAAAAGUAAUUCUUUAUACAUAAUUAUGCAUAUUAGUUAACUAUGUAGAACUACUAACUAUCUAACUUCCUAUAUAUCUAAGCCCACCAAUGUCUGUUAUUAGAUACAAAUUUUGCAAUUCUUCUAUUUCACUAUAAAUCUAUUUAGCACUAGGUACACUUGAAUGUCUUACAUUUACAAUAUCUCACUGUUCUAUUAGAAAUGUUAGGUACUGUACGGAAACUUAACAAACGUUGCUUGUUUCUCGCUCGCGUAUAAUAUAAUGAGUAGCCAAUAGACUAGAUUACAUUUAGAACAUUUUAUUAUCUCUGUGUUAUAAUAAAUAAAAGUAAUCAAUAAAUGUAGAGAAAUCGA